AACGAACGCUGGCGGCAUGCCUAACGCAUGCAAGUCGAACGAGACCUUCGGGUCUUGUGGCGCACGGGUGCGUAACGCGUGGGAACCUGCCCUUAGGUUCGGCAUAACUCCCCGAAAGGGGUGCUAAUACCGGAUAAUGUCUUCGGACCAAAGAUUUAUCGCCUUUGGAUGGGCCCGCGUUGGAUUAGCUAGUUGGUAGGGUAAUAGCUUACCAAGGCGACGAUCCAUAGCUGGUCUGAGAGGAUGAUCAGCCACACUGGGACUGAGAAACGGCCCAGACUCCUACGGGAGGCAGCAGUGGGGAAUAUUGGACAAUGGGCGAAAGCCUGAUCCAGCAAUGCCGCGUGAGUGAUGAAGGCCUUAGGGUUGUAAAGCGCUUUUACCCGGGAUGAUAAUGACAGUACCGGGAGAAUAAGCUCCGGCUAACUCCGUG
rnacentral:rRNA from 1 species